rnacentral:rRNA from 1 species
UACAGAGGUGGCAAGCGUUGUUCGGAAUUACUGGGCGUAAAGGGCGCGUAGGCGGCCUUCUAAGUCGGACGUGAAAUCCCCCGGCUUAACCUGGGAACUGCGUCUGAUACUGGGAGGCUUGAGUAUGGGAGAGGGAUGUAGAAUUCCAGGUGUAGCGGUGAAAUGCGUAGAUAUCUGGAGGAAUACCGGUGGCGAAGGCGGCAUCCUGGACCAUAACUGACGCUGAGGCGCGAAAGCUAGGGGAGCAAACGGG